rnacentral:rRNA from 1 species
ACUCCUACGGGAGGCAGCAGUGGGGAAUUUUGGACAAUGGGCGAAAGCCUGAUCCAGCCAUGCCGCGUGCAGGAUGAAGGCCUUCGGGUUGUAAACUGCUUUUGUACGGAACGAAACGGCCUUUUCUAAUAAAGAGGGCUAAUGACGGUACCGUAAGAAUAAGCACCGGCUAACUACGUGCCAGCAGCCGCGGUAAUACGUAGGGUGCAAGCGUUAAUCGGAAUUACUGGGCGUAAAGCGUGCGCAGGCGGUUAUGUAAGACAGUUGUGAAAUCCCCGGGCUCAACCUGGGAACUGCAUCUGUGACUGCAUAGCUAGAGUACGGUAGAGGGGGAUGGAAUUCCGCGUGUAGCAGUGAAAUGCGUAGAUAUGCGGAGGAACACCGAUGGCGAAGGCAAUCCCCUGGACCUGUACUGACGCUCAUGCACGAAAGCGUGGGGAGCAAACAGGAUUAGAAACCCGGGUAGUCCCA